UAGUCAAUGGACUCUUCAGCAGUAGGAAAGAACUUUAAGUAUAAAAGAAGGCUAGAAAUCAUCAGCCCUGUCCUUGCCAUUCCAGCCUUACAGUGCACCACAACGACAUUCUCAAUAUCCUCCUUCAACCACGAGUAUGCACUUUGGCAGAAUGAUAUUAUCAGUUGAAUUGGAGGGCAAUUGUGGUCAUCAAACGGAAAACUAGCCACCUUUCCUUCAAGUAAUGAUGCGUCAUACAGCCUCUCAGAACAAAGAUUGUAUACUUUGUACUUGCCCUUGUGAUGAGUUUCAAAAAACUUAAUCACUUCUUCCAUGUGGUUUCGAUA
rnacentral:misc_RNA from 1 species